rnacentral:misc_RNA from 1 species
AACGCAUAUUGCGCCCUCUGGUAUUCUGGGGGGCAUGCCUGUCCGAGCGUCAUUACCAUAUUCAAGCACGGCUUGUGUGUUGAGCAUUUUGUUCCUAUUUUUUGUGAACAAAGGCUUGAAAUGCAGUGGCAAUGCCUAAAUUGGUUGCCUGAACGUAUGGGGUUCUAUCACACGUUCUCUGGCUCCAGUUGUGCAUCUUGUCUCAAACCUUUUUUCCAAGGAAAAUUGACCUCGGAUCAGGUAGGAAUACCCGCUGAACUUAA